CACAAGCAUAACGUGGAGUACUGGUUAAGAGGCCAUGAUGGUUUAACACCCAGUUCCUACAACUCUUACCAAUGUGACUUCAGACAAAGGAAACUUCUUAGGUCUCAGUUUCCCCAUCUGUAAAGUGAAGCAGUAUUAGCAGCGAUGGCUGACCACCUUCAAAGUGUACAGGCACGCCUUGGAGCUACAGAGGGUUGACUUCCAGACAACUACAAUAAAAGAAGCAUUUCAUGGAAUAGAUGUACCACCAUGUGUUCAUCCAUUUACCAGGUGAAAGACAUUUAGCUUAUUUACAUUUCUUGGCAAAUAUGACUGGGACUGCCAUAAACGUUCAUGUGCAAGUCUGGGUAAAGUGGCUGUAUCACUGCAUUCUCACCAACAACGGAUGCGAAUUCCAGUUGCUUUGCUGUACAGUUCCUGACUGUGGAGUGGCCUUUGGAGCUGGGACUUGGCUUUACUCCACGCCAGAACACUGACGAGGGUCUCCAGGACGGAAGCCGGCCCUCGCGUCACCUCCGCACAGGAGAGUGCUCCAUGGACUUCCUUCUCCAGCCCCAUGAAUGUAUGAGUUCUUCUAGAGUCACAGUGCACUCCCUCCACUGGGUGACCUCUCCCGCACCCCUGCACAGGCUUUGCGUUUUGAUCUGUAUUGUUUGGCUGCCACUGUUUGAGCCUUUCUCUGUGUAAAGUGCUCUGCUCAGCACUGCCUUAUUCUUAAUUACUAUUGUUAAACGCUUCAAGCAUUAUAUAAGCACCUUCUUAUUCUUAAUUAUUAUUAAAUAUUUCAAACACAACACAUGAUAAUAGUAUCCCAAUGUACUCCUUAACUCCAAUUUGAUAAAUCAGUAUUCGUCCCCUUGUCCUUCAGAUCCAUUUGUUUUGACAAUUAAAACUUUAAAAUAUGUUGGAGUCCUUCCCUCC